UGGGGAAUUUUGGACAAUGGGCGCAAGCCUGAUCCAGCCAUACCGCGUGAGUGAAGAAGGCCUUCGGGUUGUAAAGCUCUUUCAGACGGAAAGAAACGGUCGCGGCCAAUACCCGCGACUAAUGACGGUACCGUAAGAAGAAGCACCGGCUAACUACGUGCCAGCAGCCGCGGUAAUACGUAGGGUGCGAGCGUUAAUCGGAAUUACUGGGCGUAAAGCGUGCGCAGGCGGUUUGGUAAGACAGAUGUGAAAUCCCCGGGCUUAACCUGGGAACUGCAUUUGUGACUGCCAGACUAGAGUGUAGCAGAGGGGGGUAGAAUUCCACGUGUAGCAGUGAAAUGCGUAGAUAUGUGGAGGAAUACCGAUGGCGAAGGCAGCCCCCUGGGCUAACACUGACGCUCAUGCACGAAAGCGUGGGGAGCAAACAGGAUUAGAUACCCUUGUAGUCCCUGAGCGGGCUGGCAAGGCGCAU
rnacentral:rRNA from 1 species